UACAGAGGUCUCAAGCGUUGUUCGGAUUCAUUGGGCGUAAAGGGUGCGUAGGCGGCGCGGUAAGUCGGGUGUGAAAUCUUGGAGCUUAACUCCGAAACUGCAUUCGAUACUGCGGGGCUAGAGUGCAGAAGGGGCAACUGGAAUUCUCGGUGUAGCGGUGAAAUGCGUAGAUAUCGAGAGGAACACCUGCGGCGAAGGCGGGUUGCUGGGCUGACACUGACGCUGAACUGCGAAAGCUAGGGGAGCGAACGGG
rnacentral:rRNA from 1 species